rnacentral:rRNA from 1 species
UGGGGAAUAUUGGACAAUGGGCGCAAGCCUGAUCCAGCCAUGCCGCGUGAGUGAUGAAGGCCCUAGGGUUGUAAAGCUCUUUCACCGGUGAAGAUAAUGACGGUAACCGGAGAAGAAGCCCCGGCUAACUCCGUGCCAGCAGCCGCGGUAAUACGCAGGGGGCUAGCGUUGUUCGGAUUUACUGGGCGUAAAGCGCACGUAGGCGGACUAUUAAGUCAGGGGUGAAAUCCCGGGGCUCAACCCCGGAACUGCCAUUGAUACUGGUAGUCUUGAGUUCGAGGGAGGUGAGUGGAAUUCCGAGUGUAGAGGUGAAAUUCGGAGAUAUUCGGAGGAACACCAGUGGCGAAGGCGGCUCACUGGCUCGAUACUGACGCUGAGGUGCGAAAGCGUGGGGAGCAAACAGG